GCCAGGUGGGUAUCGUGAGUAUUCUCCUCAGAGCAAAUGCAAUGGUAUUUGAGGGCCUAACUGCAGAUGACAGCCUUUUUUUGUGUGCUUUGAGAUGAUUGCUGGUCCUGUGGACCUAAGUAUGGUGGUCUGUGUGAUUUUUGUAUAUGGUGCUUUGUAGGAUGCCAUCCUGGAUGUUGAUAAGGGUGUUUUGAAUGUUGAUGCUACUGUAGGAGUAUUCCAGACAAAGUUUGAUUGAGAAGUUGCAGUUGUUAAACUUGUGGUGGAAGUCAAUAAGCGAGUCCACGUAUUCAGAAUACUUACUGACUUCUGCGGGAAGCAAUGUUUUGUUUUAUACAUCUAAAGUACAAUCCCAAAGUAAAGGACGUUAUCAGUCUGAUGCCUUCCUAGCCGUUAAUGGAAUCAUAAAAGCAAUCCUAGAAGUAACAUCUCAGAUCUAGUACUAGGUGUUAAUCUAUUUUUCCAUCAUGGCAAAUUGUAUUUGGCAAGUGUGCUGUGCUAUCCCAACAGCCUUUGCCAAACCUUUGUUCUAUUUAUUUCAAUAAUAGAAUAUAGCAAACAUUGAGUGCUUUUGAAAAUACCACUAUAAUCGAAAACAAAAGAUGGGGGAGAUGUCUACAGGGUAUAGGACUUGAUGAAAUGCAGAGGUUUGGGCUGGAUUGGUCAUAUUUAUGCUGUUGUGGCCAUCUGUCUCUCUUGCUCUACAUGAAGCAUUUUUCUGGGAUUUAAACAAGGUCUACUGCAACACCUGACAGAAACAAUCAGACACAUGUUCUUUGUUUAAAUCUAUAUUUGUGCUGACAGAUGACUAAGACCCCACAGAGGACGUGAAUCAGAUCAGCAACAAAGCAAAAUGUACAUGUUUCAAGGCCAGGUCACAGCAGAUGGCAGGGGGUCAGAAAAGGAGGUAGGUCUCCCUCUAUGACUGUCCUAUUCCAUCAACACCAAACUCAGACAGGAGAAAAGGAAUCAAGGCAGAAUGGGGACGUAAAGGUGAAGUGUGCAGUACAAAAGGCCCUUCAUGUGACCCUUCCUUCUUUUGCCCUGAAGUGAUGUCACAUCCUUUAACCCUUGCCCUCAUGAAUUUGGAGGGGGGAUACUCUCAUCACAAACAGUUAGUGCAAGGAGGCAAAAGAACUGUCAUGAGUAAUUACUAUGAAGUGGCAAUGAUGCUUCAGCUUUGACAUCACCAAAGACCGAACAAAGAUGCUUACUUUCAUUUUGAUCCAGCUCCAAUUUAACUGGUCAUAAACUUAUCUAGCUAUAACUGUGGUCUUUUGAAAGCACGCAUAAAUCAGUGGUUGAUUUUUUACUUAUGACUCUUCUGAUUUCUUUCUGAAUGUAUGUGGUUUUUUGGUUUGCAUGAUCUGAAUUAGAAAUCACCACUAAAAAUGAUUAUUUUUGCAUUAGUGGAGACUACUAUUUAGAAAUCUGUUGAGAAGCAGACUUUCAAUAUUUCCUGUGGCCCUGAACCUAGCUGAAUGCUGUCUAGUGAAUGAAGUGAUUACUUCCAUGAUUCUCUCUGCCUCAAUUUUACUGGAUUUUUGAUCGAGUUGGGAACUAGGU